UGAAUGAUGAGAAAUACAUUAGCAAAUGAUUUUGAUUUUAAAUCAAAUGAUUGAUUAACCUCUAAGAAGUUCUGAAUAUUUAU
rfam:Plasmodium falciparum 3D7 chromosome 2, complete sequence.